UUCAUUUUCCAACCUAAGCUUCUCUCAUCUCUCCUCAUCCUCCUCUCAUCAAAUCAAACUCCAUAAUAAUCCACCAAAUUCCGAUCUUCCCACCACCAUUCAUGUGUUGUUUGUCUCAGUCUCAACCAGGUGGCUGGUGGCAGUGUUGCGUCAGAGUUUGAUCUUUUUUGUAGAAUAACAAGAAGUUGGUGUUUGGGGAUGUCUAUGGAGCUGUUUUGCUUCCUAAACAGGUGGAGCUUGAAAAAUCCCAGAAUAUGGACCUUCAAUUCCAAGUUCCUGAUGUUGGCAAAGCGUUUCAGAAUUUUAUUGGAACCAGAGAAGUAGGGGAGUUUCUUAGUGGUGCUCUGGUUGGUUGGGGCAAUGGCGAAGGCGGUUUUAGCACCUCUUGGAACUAUCAGGCUGAGGUUGAAGAUGUAACAAUGGUGUGUUUUCUAGACACAGUAAAGUUGUUCUUCCAGAUUACUUAAUAAGAGUUGAAGUGGGGGUUAAUUUGUUUGAUUUUACUUCAGGUAUCAUCUUCAGGAUUCUUCAACCAUUUAGCGUCUGCUUGCUGCAAAUUUUGUUGGAUCUGACCAGAUUGUGGCGCCGAUGAUGAAGUUAUGGAACUCCAUGAAAGGGAUCAAGGUCAAAAAUCUUAUGUAGGUGCUAUUAAGCUUCUUAUUCUCAGGUAUUCAAUAAUCCGAGGGAACGGCCUUUCACCUUUGAGGAAAUAGAUGAAGUUCGAGAAAUGUUGGCAAACUUCAUUACCAGUGAUUGUCUUUGAUAUUUUCUUGUACUGAAUCUUAAAUUACGGAUGCUAGCUAGGUUUUCAUAUGAUUGUAAUGUAAUCGACUUUUAUAUUUACAAUUAUAUACUAUUUAAUUUAAUUAUCUAUAUAAUUGGAUAC